UACGUAGGGGGCGAGCGUUGUCCGGAUUUAUUGGGCGUAAAGAGCGUGUAGGCGGCCAGGUAGGUCUGCUGUGAAAACUCGAGGCUCAACCUCGAGACGUCGGCGGAAACCAUCUGGCUAGAGUCCGGAAGAGGAGAGUGGAAUUCCUGGUGUAGCGGUGAAAUGCGCAGAUAUCAGGAAGAACACCCGUGGCGAAGGCGGCUCUCUGGGACGGUACUGACGCUGAGACGCGCAAGCGUGGGGAGCGAACAGG
rnacentral:rRNA from 1 species